rnacentral:rRNA from 1 species
AUACGUAGGGGGCGAGCGUUGUCCGGAAUGAUUGGGCGUAAAGGGCGCGUAGGCGGCCCGGUAAGUCUGGAGUGAAAGUCCUGUUUUUAAGAUGGGAAUUGCUUUGGAUACUGUCGGGCUUGAGUGCAGGAGAGGUAAGUGGAAUUCCCAGUGUAGCGGUGAAAUGCGUAGAGAUUGGGAGGAACACCAGUGGCGAAGGCGACUUACUGGACUGUAAUUGACGCUGAGGCGCGAAAGUGUGGGGAGCAAACAGGAUUAGAUACCCUGGUAGUCCACACUGUAAACGAUGAAUGCUAGGUGUAGGGGGUAUCGACCCCUUCUGUGCCGCAGUCAACACAAUAAGCAUUCCGCAUGGGGAGUACGGCCGCAAGGUUGAAACUAAAAGGAAUUGACG